rnacentral:misc_RNA from 1 species
GCCACUCUUCGGAGUUGUAAAGAUGUCUCAUUCAAUGCAUUCGUCUCAUCUGCAAGCCACUUGACUUUCUCAAUCAUAUCUGUUGACUGAAAUUGCUCACUUCCAGUGGCCUUGGACAAUAUUUCUUCACAUUUUUGAAGUAUCAAAUUCUUUUGAAUGAGAGCUUCCUGCAGUGAAGCAGCUAAACUUUCGCUUCUCCCCAGUAAAUCCUUGGUUUGUUCCACAGCUUCAAGACUAUUCGACUUCUCUUGCAACUCAAUUUGAUACCUCUGCAGCUCACUAGCUUUCUCAGACAGUGACUGCUUCAAAGCAUCACGCUGCUGAACUAACGCCUUUCCUUUUGUCACAGCCAAGCUAAGCUUCUCUUUUGUAUUAGCAUACCUUGUUCUCUCCUGUUCAAUUUCAGCACCCAGCUUUGUUAUUUCAGCAUUUGCAUUCUCAACCAUCAAUUUAUGUUUAUUAAGUUCCUCAGAUAGUUUCCCAUUUUCAUCACUUAAAAAGCUCAGAUGUUGGUUUACAUUCAACUCUCUUGUUCUAA